rnacentral:lncRNA from 1 species
UUGCUUUUGCACUCUAUUCUUCUAUUUUCCAAAACCCCAAUUCACAAAUCCUCCUAGAAAAUCAGCAAGAUGGCUAACCCCCAGGAUAACCAAGCACUCCUCCACAACCUAACCGCUCUGAUUCAUCCACCCCUCCUCCACCCAGCACAACCACCCAACCUAUGAGAAGGCGAGUGAAAAUGUUUGCUCCCAAAAUGGUGGCAACUGUUGCUCUUUCAAAGAAAUUGAAUGAGAAAUUAAACGCAAGCCAAGCCCAAGAUUCCGGAAACUCAGAUGAUUCAUUCAAAUCUGUGAGUAAGGGG